UACGAAGGGUGCAAGCGUUACUCGGAAUUACUGGGCGUAAAGCGUGCGUAGGUGGUUUGUUAAGUCUGUUGUGAAAGCCCCGGGCUCAACCUGGGAAUGGCAAUGGAUACUGGCAGGCUAGAGUGCGGUAGAGGGUAGUGGAAUUCCCGGGUGUAGCGGUGAAAUGCGUAGAGAUCGGGAGGAACACCAGUGGCGAAGGCGGCUACCUGGACCAGCACUGACACUGAGGCACGAAAGCGUGGGGAGCAAACAGG
rnacentral:rRNA from 1 species